ACAAAAUUUCCAGAUGUAGCGUAAGAUACCCACACUUCUCCCCCUUUACCCUUAAUAUAUAUAUAUAUAUAUAUAAAAGUUCCUCUCAUAAUCUAAUGCCAUUUGUUCUUGUUUCGUCUACUAGAAAUUCUCUCGUCUCGUAUCUCGUUGGCAAUAUGGGUCGUCUAAGUCGGACUAUCUACGUCGGAAAUCUUCCUGGUGAUAUUCGGGAGAGAGAAGUAGAAGAUUUGUUUUACAAGUAUGGGCCCAUUGUGGAAAUUGAUUUGAAAGUUCCCCCCAGGCCACCUGGUUAUGCGUUCGUAGAGUUUGAAGAUCCCCGUGAUGCUGAGGAUGCCAUCCGUGGGCGUGAUGGCUGUGACUUUGACGGACAUCGUUUGCGAGUUGAACUUGCGCAUGGUGGGCGAAGACCAUCAUCAUAUGAUCGCCACAGUAGUUAUAGUAGUUACAGUAGUGGGAGUCGUGGUGGACUUUCUAGGCGCUCUGACUAUCGUGUAAUGGUGUCUGGACUACCAUCUUCUGCUUCAUGGCAAGACUUGAAGGAUCACAUGCGACGAGCUGGAGAUGUCUGUUUCUCUCAAGUUUUCCGAGAUCGUGACGGUAUGCGAGGGAUUGUGGACUAUACCAACUAUGACGAUAUGAAAUAUGCGAUAAAGAAACUUGAUGACUCUCUGUUUCGCAAUCAAUUCUCUCGAUCAUAUAUUAGGGUGGACAGGUAUGAUAAGAGGCAUAGCUAUUCCAGGAGUCCAAGUCCAUAUUAUUCAAGAAGCAGAAGUUACUCAAGAAGCAGGAGUCCUCGACUAAGCUAUAGCAGAAGUGUAUCUCCUAGGGGUAGAUACCAUCGUCGCUCUGUCUCUCUCUCACCCUCAAGGUCUCUUUCCCCUGCUCGCUCUUUCUCAAGAUCUGGCUUCCGCGAUCUGGGGAUUGCUAUAUAAGACAGGUGAUGGUUAAUGGUGCUCAAAUUCAGACAAAUCGUUUGGAUGUGGCUGUAACCUGGUUUAGUGGAUGAGCACCUCUGGCAAACUUUGGAUGAUCCAUAUCAAGAUCCAGAUCUCCACUUUCACCUCCGCGUCACCGGAGGUAUGCAAGGAGCCCCAGCCCAAGCAGGAGCCGGAGCAGGAGUCUCUCCUAUUCUCGCUCUUCGGAGAUAUCCUACUGAGACUUCUACAGAAACAAAGGGCAGACUGUAGCUAAAAUAAACUGCAUCCAGCAGACGUGCAGGAUGUUAAGGAAUUGGCUUUUAGCGCUAUGUUUAGUAUAUAGCUAAUUUCUUCAGUUGUUGUAACAUUGAGAGACGGAGCUUUGAACUCUAGCUAGCUAGUUAGUUGCACGUUUUAGAAACUUGUUCUAUGUUACUCGCCAUGUAUGCUUUUCGAACUGCUAAGUCAAAACUUGAGGACGUAUAUCUGUUAACAUUUGGCCCGUGAAUGUCAUUUGUUGCUGACUUACUGCUAUAAGCAUGUCAGCUGUUAUCAAA